ACAACAUUUGACUAUGGACUUCUCAGUCUUGACUUGAGUAGUAGAGCCCCUACUGAUCGAUUUAGCUGUCAUUCCCAAACUGUCAUUACCAUCUUGGCUGUGCUGCUCAACAUCUUCUUCUUGUGCGGUUCUGCCUAGCUACUCAUCAUGACUCUGAAAUCCGAAUGAUUAAUGUUACGAUAAGAUAUCGCCCGGACCCCAAUCAUGAUUCAUCAUUAUACCUCAAACUCAAACUUACUAAUUACUACCCUGUUGAGUAACUGAUCGGAAAACUGUAAAUGUGAAACUAGAUAGAGUUGCAUUUCUGUGUGAGGCUAUUGUCAUUGACAACUAUAAUCUAUUACAUAUUUACAUCCAAAAUGUGAGAUCUUUCCUGAUCGAUAUAGUCGCAUUCAUCUUCAUCGUUCAUCCUCUCAUAUUCAUCGUCAUACAUUAUAUCAAACCAUUUACGAGUACUUGCAACGAAUGAACACAUUUAAAUCAUAACUUUGUUAGUAAUUGAGCUAUUCGAUUUCGUGUUGCACCAAAAACAACACAAGAAUUCAAAUCCAAUAUUAAGUGCUAAUUAUUAAACCAAACUAAUUGGUUGCCAAACGAGUCCUAAUUAAUGACAGACAAAUUGAAAAGAAUUGGUGUCCAAUUAAGGCAUUGGUACAUACCAAAUCGAAUGGAUGACUCAACUUAUUAUAGAUAUAUAAAGGUUACUCCAUAUGAUCGAGGGUAUAUAUGUAUGCAUACUUAAAUGAGGACACACGAUUGUAACUCAUAGUUGGACGGGACCAUAGCAAAUAUUCCCUAGCUAAAAAGAAGUUGCACGCUGUGACAAUUAAGCAAAAGGGUGUUUACCUACGACCACCACCAUCAAGUUUGUUUAGCAAAACUCCAUUUUUACAUAGCUACCAAUUCCAUGUUUGAUUAUAUAUACGUGUUCCGGGGACAACGGCUAUUAAUACUGGACAGAGUCCCACACCCUAAGCCUCCCCAACUCCAAAGUCUCCAAGAAAGCUCACAAAAACCAAACAGAUACCGAAGAGCAAAACCAGAUUAGAAAAACAAGCUGGUGCACAGUCCAAAGCUUCGAUCAGAGAAGCAGCGCAAAUAAGAAAAUAGAAGAAGGUUCCAGGAAUCAAGGGUCAAGUUAUGUCAUGUGCCGAGACCCACCAGACAAGGAAUUGAAGAUGCACCAACAGAGAUAACAUCAAAACCUUUCAUAUCAAUCCUCUCUUCCUCUCUUGCUCUUGCUUCUCUAGCUUGCUAGCUAUCCAGUUCUUGCUUCUCUAGCUUGCUAGCUAUCCAGUUCUUGCUUCAGUACUCGACCUUUGUUUUUUCCAGUGAGUCACACCCACCCCACUGCACAGUGUGAGCGUCAAGGCUUUUAUGGUUUUCUCUUCGCUUGGUGCUACUAUUCUCCACGAGCAAUGAGAUCAGCUACAGAAGGUCUUAUUUUGUUGCUGUGGAUCGUCUUAAUUCUUGCUCAAACGACAACUUCCGUUUCUGUUGCUCAUAGUAGUAUUUCUGGUCACGAGUCGACAACUACUGGCCGGUUGUUAAUUAGUACUAAUUCUCCGCCGAGAAAAGCACGUGUUCACGGCAAAGUCUGGUUCCAUGCACCGUCGAGUACUCCAUCUCGUGAUUUUUUUGCCGGCGUCUACGGCGAAGACAAAAGAUUAGUUCAUACAGGUCCGAAUCCGCUUCACAACUAGUGAAAAUAAUGCUUGCUGCGUGGGGCAUAUCGGUAACUGCUGCUGCUGCUGCUGUAGCUGUGUAUUCUCAAGUGAAAAACGACUGUAAUAUCUUCCUGUUGUCGACCUCCAUUUUUACUUUAAUUUUUUCGGGUCCAUUUUGUACGUUCUUUGAAUUUUUGAAUUAGGUAGAGAGAAGAAAGAAUGAGAGCAUGGCUUUAGCCUUUUCAGUAAGGUUUGAUGUAGGGGAUGGGCGGUGUAGGAAAUUACGAGAGCUGGGAAUGGUAAAUUGGGGGAUGUGAUAUCGAGGGGCUAGUGUAAAUGCUCUUGUUUCUUUUUUGCAGUCAUAGUUAUUAUAUGCAUGUUCUUACUUUUUUUCUGUACCUUCUGUUCAAAAAAUUCAUUGUAGUCUGAAUUAAUUGCUCUCUUCAUAAAUUCCUAGCUUCUUCAUCUACCCUCUUCGAUCUGCAUUAUUGCCAGUACGUUCUUCACCCUCCGGAAUACAGAGGCGCGCUUCUGGAAUUAGGGUUUCGGAUCGGUUUCUUUCUCUAACUCUGUUUCCAACGAUUCAAAUCUUCCGAGCUUCAGCAUUGCGCAUUGCGCAGAUAAACUGAAAUGUACAUUCAGAUUUAACUCAUUAGGUUUGUUGAAUCACUGGAUUAGUUAUUAGGGUUUCCUAUAUAGCAAGUCUUACUGUAUUGGCCAAAAUGCGACCAUACACUCAAUCAAUGCUGUUCUCCAUGAUUGGGCUUCACUAAGAUGUAAUCAGACCUAGCUGUUCGAUUAGCUAGAUCUAAUCACCCAGCAAUGAUUCAACGACUGGUUAUUUUCCACGUGGGAAAUCAUCAGCAUAAGGAUCGAUGGAGAUGGCUUUUGUGAAAGGGCACUGGAACUAGCUAGAUAAUCGAUCGGCUUUGAAUAUUGGCUGGGUGUGUGGGACUAUAUUCAUUCAUAUUUGGAUUUGAUUGUUCCCAGAAGUCCUAUCUGUAUUUUGACUUCAAUGCGUUUGCCUUGUUGUUUUUUUCGCUCAAAGAGGAUGCCUGUCUGUCUCUACUGUCUCCAUGGGUAAACACGCUUCCUCAAGAUUUAGGAUCCUAUUUUCCCAACCAUAUUAAUGCUGCUGAAACAAAUUUCCAUGGAUGAGCAGUACUCAUCCAGUAUAGUACUCAUCGGGGCUCUCCCUUUUCUUUUUUACUACAUCGACAUGGUACGUAUAUUUUUUUAUUUUUAAUUUACUGACAAGGAUUAAGCGCGAUAUCAGCUCCUCUAUAGUAAUUUGGCAGAGUAUCCACUCUACCCGAAAUGGACCGCUACAAACCGGGAACCCGUCCCUUAUUAGAUUUUUAUUUAUAAAAAAAACAUGGUACGUACAUGAGGCACUGUUCGUUUUACUCCUCGUUUUUCAUGAACCUUGAUAUGCAACACAACAGGAAAAACACCAGACACCAUAAUCGAAUCUUCAUGCUUAGAUGUUCUAGCUUAUUCAUCGAUUCUGUACGUGAGAAGAAGAACCACUCAUAUGCUAGAUAUAUAAUAUGACUUGUGCUCUCAAAGUUGUCAAUGCUACCUGUAUAUGGACAAAACAAAGUUCAAACUCUCAAGGUUAGAUCAACAAUUAGACAAAUCUGAUUAGAAACUUCCUUGGAAUGAGUUGUGUAAACAAAGUUUGGUGAAUCCCAUAAAAAUUGAUUAAAAUGACACUAACCAAAUAUAUAUAUAUAUAUAUUGUCUAGAGAACAGAAAAGAUAUUUCUUCUAGUCCAUGCUUUUGGAUUAGUUCAAAAAUCAAAGCACAAAAGAUUCUGCUGAUUGAGAAGAAAAAAUGUCGAGCUUAUCAUUUUGCGGAUCAUUUUGAUCGAGCAAGGUGCAGGUGUUGUUUUCCCUGUGAGAUGAAUGUUUGCUUGGAAUCAUUCAUAAAUGUGUGAGUUAAUAAAAGAGGGAAGGUCUGGUGGAAAAUGCAACUACCUCAUCCCUCUCCUACGUCAAGUCCCAUAAAACCUGUUUAUUGCUUCUACCCACCCCAGGAUUCUGCAUUAGUUCUAUUGCUAGCUAGCUGGUUUUUUCAGAUUUUUAUUUUUGCUUUUUCUAAUUUUAAAUUUGUUUGGUUCCUCAACAUCUUCAUUGAUGAAUCAUUAACGAUCGUCAUCUCUUAUAACUAAUGUGGAACCCAUGACAAAUAGAAGGUUUAAUGGUUACACGCUGGUAUUGACAAGUAGAAGACAAUGCCAAGUUUGAGCCUAGUAAUUUUAAUCCUUCCAAUUUGUUUUUUCUUAAUCUCAAUCUACGACAUAUUCUCGAUCAGGAUCGAUGACACAAACAUAAAUUUGAAACAAAGCUUCCUUCGCUAAUGGAGAUAUUCUCCAGAAACUUCAAUUGUCGAGAUGUUAGAGAACCUCGAUCAUAGUCGGCAGGCAAAAGGAGAGAAUUACCAGAGUAUAUCUUCGGGAGAGAAUAUGUCAUUGUCUCGAUCAAUAUCCACAAUGCAAUUCACUCAUUAGAAUACAUCAUUUGCCCCAUAUAUAUAAAUUUCAGUGAAUUCGAAAGGCAUUAAUGUCAUGAAUGUAGCUGGGUCUCAUUCAUCAUCAUGUAUACAACCAGACGACAGGCUGGGGGUUGAUUUGAACGAUUGAUAAUAUCCUACAAAGUGGUCAUAUCUGAUAUUCUGGAAACCAGAUCGAAUUUCUUAAUUCAAUCCUCGAUCGAUCAGUAAGUAAACAAUUAAAACAUCAAAGGAUUUUUCAUUGUUAAGGUUAAGGGUUUGCAAGCAGAAGUUCGGUGAACACACAGAGAUAUUUAGGAGCUGAUUUUUAUACCAACAAAAAGAUUGCAUCGAGUAGUUUCAUACUUUCAUUUAACAUGUUGAUGUUUUUCUUGGUCAGAGAGUCAGAGCCAAGUAGCUGCACACUGAUAUUAUAAUGCAGUAGCAAACAAAUGGGAUUAAAUAUGAAUCUAUGGAAGGAGGGAAAGACAUACUGGCCUUGGGAGUCAUAAAUUGCUUCCAUUGAUUGACCAAAACAAUGCAGGUUAAGUUUCUUUGAUUCUUUUGUUCGAGGAAAAAAAAUAUACAUGUUUUCUCUAACAACUUUACAAUUGGUAUCAGCUGCAUGGGCAUUUGCUCCCCUUAAUAAUCAAGCAUAUAAGUAACAAUUGCUCAAUUAUAGGUGUGGAAAAAGGAGAGGAAUAUAUAACUUCGGUUUUGUGUUUGACACAGUUGAUCUGAAGUUCUGAACUGGCAGAAUGAACCUGUGUUUUAAGUCUCUUAUUUUCAUUCAUAUUGAUCUCGAUCAAUCUCAAUGGAAUGCUUAUUAUCGAUCAGCUUUUCUUUUGCUUUGUUUCUGAUUUAGUAUUGUAUCCUUCUUAACGUACAUAGAACUAAAAGAACAUCUAAUUACUGCUUAUAAUAAUCAUCCAAAAUAAUAGAACAACAUAUUAGUACUUUUUCUUUUGUUGGCUAUCAAAACACUUGCACAUCAUAUAUUGACUUCUGUAUCUUUGAAGGCUUUAACCACUAAAAACAGUACGCCUGCACAGCAGCUGCACUCAUUUGAAUCUUGAGUCUUGACCACAAUGUGCAGUUUAAUUAUAAAGAACUAGCUUCUCAUAUGCGCAAUUAUAAUAUGGUAGAUUGAAUAAUAAAAGAAAACCCUGAGCUAAAGACGGAGCCAUCCUUUUAGACUUCACUUCAUAUUAGGUUAUUAGUAGUAUAAUUUGACAGGUCUAGCUAUGAACAAGUUCUUGCUGAUCUAGCUAGAGUUUUUCGGUUAUCAUUGUGAAAGAAUAAAUUAGUCACAAACACAAUGCUUCGGCUUGAUUUGCACGAAAAAAGUUCUUCUGCCAGCUUUACUCUAGUUGAAAUUUCCUGUAACAUAAUGCAAUAUAUGUACAAAUCUCCUCAGCAACUUAUGUACCAAUCUCUGAAUAGAAUAUGCCAAAGAUACAUUUUAUGACAAGUUCACAAAAUCUGAGAACCAUUUAUCGUGAAAUAAUUCAUACUUGAACUAAAAUGUAGAUUAGGAAUGUCACAUUGUGAGAUGUAUCACUGCCUCUUGGGUUAGUAUAGUAUUAUAGACUCCAACUUCAUACGAAUUUGGAUAUCUCAGACAGAUAUAACCCUGCCUCUUGGGUCAAUGACUUUGCUUCCCCUGGUAUCACAGUGAACAAAAGAUGGUGAAUAAUCAUGAUGAUGGGGAAUUAGAGACAUCUCAAUGUUGGGGCAACUUCACAUACGAUCAGCAAUAGAUCUCAGAUAGUUGAUCCCAGUAGGCACAUCACUUAUUAUCAGCUCAUUGGUGAUUCUGCAAUCACACCUCAAGAUUAAGAGAAAAUGGAGCAAGAACACUGUGAAGUUGAUCUAAAACACAUCUCUCUACUCCUUGACAUUUCCGGUUAUCAUUGUCCCUUGUGAUCACCAAAAGUUGUUGCAAGAACACUCACCAUUUCUAAAAUGAUGAAAACGGAUUUUAUCUCUCAUGAUAAUCUCCCUUUUGGUUGCUUUAGAGACAAAUUUACAGAAACUGUGGCAGUCAUCACAUAUCCGUAAGUUCUUCACCACUCUAAUUGAGCAUUCAGGCUGUAGACUUAGAAGACUAAAUGCAAUGGCAAGCUUUUCACUGUGAUGACUGAGUGUGGCUUCCUUUUCCUCUGUUCCCACAUCAUGGAACACAGAGUUGGUAUUAGGAGUAUAACCUAUAUUCUUCACCUGUCUUAAUAGAUCCUCCAACUUUUCAUAUAUUUUUGAUGAUUCUGGACGGAAUCUGUUACCACCAAAGAAUAUAUGGAUUUUUCCAUUAAAUUCUACAGAGCUAUAGGCAGCUACUUUCUUAGCACCUCUUUUUCUCAUUUUGAGCCUCACCUUAUCAACACAGUCCCACCUUCCAGCAGCCGCGUACAUGUUUGACAUCAAGACAUGAUAUGAACCAUUAGCAGGAUCUAAUUCAAAAAGCACAUCAGCUACAUGCUGACCCAGUUCAACAUUUUGGUGGACUGCACACGCACCCAAUAAGGCUCCCCACACCCCAGAAUCCGGUUCAAUUGGCAUACUUCUUAUGAAGUUAUAAGCCUCCUCAAGAUGUCCUGACCGACCAAGGAGAUCAACCAUACAAGCAUAGUGCUCUAUUUUCGGUUGAAUAUUCUUGUCACCGGAUUGAACCAUGCGCUUAAAAUAAGCCCUGCCUUCAUUCACCAGCCCAGCAUGGCUGCAUGCAGAUAAAACUCCCAGAUAUGUAACAUGGUUGGGCGCAACUCCACGCUCUUGCAUCCUCGAAAACAUAUCCAACGCCUUCCGGCUCUCCCCAUUCAUGGCAUACCCCAACACCAUAGUGCUCCAGGAAAUAACAUUUCUCCGAGACAUAUCCUCAAACAAAGCCUCAGCCAUGUCUACACUACCGCAUUUGACAUACAUAUCAAGCCGCGCAUUGGCAACAAUCACAUUGCAACCAAUCCCACAUUGUCUCAUAAUCCCAUAUAUUUCCUCCCCAGUCUCCAAACACCCCAACUGCCCACAAGCCGAAAAAGCACUCACAAUUGUAACAGCGUCAAGCUUCACUCCCGCCACACGCAUCCUGCGAAACAAAUCAAGAGCCUCGGCAGCAUGUCCACUCUGCACGCACGCAGCAACAAAAGCAUUCCAAGCAACUAAAUCCCUCUCAACCAUACUUCCAAAUAAAAACCGCGCCAAUCCCAACUCUCUAUUUCUCACACACAUUACCACCAUCUCCGUCCUCACUUCCGCCACAAACUCCAACCCAUAUUUCACCGCAUGCGCCGCAACCGCCAGCCCCGCCCACGGCAGAAGCUGAGCACACGCCUUAACUACAAAAGUGUACGUAAACUCGUCCGGACGGACACCUAGUCUAUGCAUUCUCCUAUACACCGCCGCCGCCUCGAUAAAGUCUCCAUCUUUCACAUAAGCCUUGAUCAUCGUGUUCCAUAGAAAUACUCUCGGCUUGUGCAUUUCGUCGAACACCUUGCGUGCAUAGGAAGUUUCCCCCAGGGCUAUGAAGCUGGUGAUGAGACGCGUGAGGAGGCUGUUCUUGACGGAGAUUCCGGUGGUGAGAAUCACGGCGUGGAGUUGCUUCAGCUGGUCUGGGUGUGACGAGCAUGACUCCAACUGCGCCGUGAAGGCUUGUUUGGUAAUCGUCACAGGAACCGGGUCGGGUUUCCGGGUCAAGUUCAAAUCCAAUUCAGCUCGAGAAGAGAACCGUGAAAUUCGGUUCCGCCAGAUCAUGCAGUGUCUUCUGGUAACUUGCAUUUGGGGGGACUCUUCCAGAUUUUUCAGAAGGGAGGAUGAGUAAAACGCUGUCGUUUUGCAUCGGCAGAUUUCAGAUAUUUUACCGGGAGAAUUGAAAGCAACGUGACUGGGGGGUGUUUAGGUAAUUUCGUAAGCGGCUGGGUAAAUUGGUCUCAGCCAAAGGAAAGGCUGGUCCAGUCCUGCUCCAGUCAUGGCUGCCCAAUCGCCGCGCGGGUGGUCAUGGAGUUCAUCCACCUACUCCACCACCGCUGCCAAGUGCUCUUCUUCCACCUCGUCGAAUCUCUCUUCGUUUUAUAUAAAACGACGUCGCUUCACCGCUUGCUCUUCCUCUUCUAAAUCUUCCGGUAGCUCCGGCGAGAAACCCGGGCCGAAAAAGCCGGCGAAAUUGGAUUUUACAGCCCCCGGUCCAACCGCAUUAGUGAAAGUCUCAAAGGGAAAGGGAUCCACAAGUGAAAAGACGAUUACAGCCCUGAGCUUCAAGCCUGGGAAGCGAUCUCUAUGGAAGAGGAUAUUCUUCGCCUCCAAGAAAGUUAGGAGCAUUCUUCUGCUGAAUGUGAUCACUGUAGUCUAUGGUAAAAGCUUAUUCGUUUUUUUUUUUUUUCAUAAUCAAGUUAAUUAUUUCGAGCUCAAAUUUGGAGUAUUUAAAGUUAAGAUGACAGUGGCUAAUGUUGUUUGUAGCAAGUAACUUCUCGAUUGUGAAAGAGGUGGAGUCUGUGAUCGACCCGGCGGCGUUUACGGUGGUGCGGUUUGCUAUGUCAGCUGUCCCAUUCAUCCCAUUUGUCAUCCGAGCAAGAGGUGAUGUGGAAACUCGUAAUGCAGGGAUUGAGUUGGGGUUCUGGGUUAGUUUAGGGUAUCUUAUGCAGGCAUUGGGACUGCUAACAUCGGAUGCUGGUCGCGCGUCGUUUCUUUCUAUGUUCACUGUGAGUGUUUUGCAUUAUGUUUGUAGGCAAUGUGUGUUAAAAGAUUGUUGUUUUGGGAGUACCUGAAGGUACUUGUUGGUAUAUUUUGGGUGAAUUUAACAGGUGAUUAUCGUUCCCUUGCUUGAUGGUAUGUUAGGAGCAAUAGUCCCUGCUCGUGUCUGGUUUGGUGCCUUCAUGUCUAUUGUAGGAGUUGGGCUGCUGGAGUCCAGUGGAUCUCCCCCUAGUGUAAGUUCUAUUACUCUUCUUAAGAUUGUAUAAGUGUAAUGCUGAUGAUAAUAAAGUGCAGAGGACCAAGUUGGGUUUUCUCUGUGGCCUGUUUAGAGAUCAGAAUCUUAUAAUUUCUGGUGAUCUUAUGUUCCUAGUUUGCAUAUAGGGUGCCGACUCAGAUAUAAGUAUGUUUCGUUUCAUAGAACUAGAAUAUAGACUUCUGGAUACUGACCACUUAAUUGCAAUAAAACAUUGGUUCUGUAAUUCUGAUUACACCUGCAUGAGUCAAGUACAGUUUCAAGUGCCAAAACAAUAUCCACUUCUGGUGAUAAGAUUAACCUAUUCAAUAACUAGUGAAAUGGGAAACAGCAUUGUCGAUAGUGAGUUACAGCUCUCUUGGCUUAAAAGGAGAGAAAACUCUCCAUAUGUGUGUGUAAACAUGUAAAUAUAAUUUAUUUAUCAAAUGUAUGCAGGUUGGAGAUUUGCUGAACUUCUUGAGCGCGGUGUUUUUUGGGGUUCAUAUGCUUAGAACAGAGCAUAUAUCAAGAAACACAAAGAAAGAAAACUUCUUGCCUCUGCUUGGAUAUGAGGUUAGUAUAUCAUUUUCGCCCAUGUAGUUAGUAUAUCUUCUUUGAUGCUCUGCAAGACUGCAACUAACCUUGGUUUCAUUUAGAUAUGCGUUGUUGCUUUCUUAUCAACAAUAUGGUACGUCAUUGGGGCAUGGUCUGGUGGUGGCCUCCACGACUUUAACCCAUCAUUGUGGACAUGGGAGAUGUUCAGGGAGUGGAUGGUUGUGUUUCCAUGGAUACCUGCACUGUACACAGGCAUAUUCUCCACUGUUUUAUGCUUAUGGGUAGAGGUAUGUGCAAAUGCUCUACUCUAAGACUGAAUAAUUUGUUCUCACAUUGCUCAAGUUGCUUGGGAAGUUGUUGGGAUACUUGCUUAUCUACAUUACAAUAAUAUAUGAAUUGUAGUGGUGCCAUGAAUUUUCUAGCAUUAUGAAAUUUCAAACACCCCUUUUUCAGCUCAGUUUUUUAACAGAAGAUUAUAUUUAACAGAUGGCCGCAAUGUGUGACGUAUCAGCCACAGAAACAGCAAUAAUUUAUGGUUUGGAACCUGUCUGGGGUGCUGGUUUUGCAUGGUUUCUCCUUGGCGAAAGAUGGGGUUCUACUGGCUGGAUUGGUGCUGCUCUUGUGCUUGGUAAAUUACUAUUGAUUUUCAUGAUCUAGUCAGCUUAAGAUACAAAAUAUCUUCAAAUUUUUUCAUUUGUUUACCAUCAAUUAUCUUUGUUAUUAGAUUACCAAAGUAAUAAAAGUGCUUCAGGUAGAAUUGCUGUCAGCAGCGAAGGACUAUUGAUCUACUACUAAAUGACAUAUUACAUCAGCUGUUAACCUUUUUAUCACUUUGUAUGGUAGAAAACUUCUGUUGCUUAUACUAGUAAUAAAAAGGAAGAGUAAUUUUUGCAUCAUAUUAACGCAUACUACACAUGCUUGGUUCUUGUUUCUCUGCAGGUGGAAGCUUAACAGUUCAGAUAUUUGGAUCAACAUCUCCCGCGGAGCCUUCAAAAGAUGAAUUGAAAGCUAAGAGACUCACUUUCCCAGUGGUUUCAGAUAAACACAAUGGCUUGUCUGCCUCACCCGUUGUAGUGAGUUCCAGAAAGGAUACACCUGAUCUGCGGAAUAAGUAAUUAACUAAGCCAUUUCUUAUGUCAGCUUCGCCUAUUCUCAGUUUUAGAUAAACAGACCACGCUCUCUAACGACAAUUCUGUUGUCACAUCACUCUCCUUGUAAUUAUGUAGCUUAUAAUCUGAAUCUCGAUUUAGGAUAGCUAAGUAAUGGAGCUUGAGGGCUCUCAGCUUUGUAUAGUUGUAUGUAGGGAGAGCUUCCAAUGAGGAUCUUAUAAUGAGGACCAAGUGAGGACUUUUAAAUGAAUGGUUGGAUGAUAUGCACAUGAGAAUUAGAAAAUAUCAAUUAAAAGUCAAAACCUUGAUCCAACCGUUCAUUUAAAAGUCCUCACUUGGUCCUUAUUAUAAGGUCCUCAUUGGAAGCUCUCCCGUUGUAUGUAUACCAGCAAUUAUUCCACAAUAAUAUGAACUCCAUUCACAAUAUACUAGUGUAGGUAUCAUCAUUUAUUACCGUAAGAAACACCCGACUGUAUGUCGUUCGGAAUACACUGAUUCAAAUUAAGAAGAAAGAAAUACACUAAUUCAUCUUUAUAUUCAGUACUCAACCUUGGCUAACAAAGGCGUACCUACACACAAGCUACGGUGGACUACAGCCCACCGCAGAAUUUGAUAAAACAUUGUUUUGUUGCAUAAUUAUAGUUAAAAAAAAAAAGUUAAAUUAUGAAAACAAGCCCACUCUAUACUUAGUCUAUAUGUAAUUAAACUUAGUUCAUAUGACAUUUUUUUUUGAAUUAAAUUCAGUUUACCCCCAUGAGGUUUGGGAGUAACUUUAUAUUAAUCCCUAUACUUUCAAUUUCAUCAGUUUACCCCUCAAACUUUUGAAUUUCCCUUAACCGUGACCAAUGUCUCAUCUUCUGUCCAAAUCAGACGUUAAUUGCUGACGUGGACCCAAUCUCAUGAGUUAAAUUAUGUUUGUACCCGAAGCUUAGAAAAUUUUCAACUUAGUUAGGGAUAAAAAGGAAUGAUUUUUUAAUUUUUUUUUCACUAGUUUUUUUGUUAAAUGACAAUUUUAAUCUUAACAAUGGGGCUCGUAUCUAGAAUUAACGAUCAAUUCAAACAAAAUAUAAGAAUUUGGUCACGACAGACAAAAAUUCAAGAGUUCAGGGGGUAAACUGAUGAAAUUAAAAGUGUAGGGAUUAACAUGAAGUUACCCUCAAACCAUAAGAGGGUAAACUGAAUUUUUUUAUCUGAUUACAUAUAUAUUAUUUAUUUUAUUAAAAGCAGUUGCUCCUUUUGUAUAUUUUGGGUCAACUUUCUUCUCUUUAUUUCUUUUUCUUUGUCGUUGUAUACGUCUCCAUUCUCUUCUGCCGAAACAGCUAAGCCAAGUGUCAAACUUUCUCUCUUUAAUCUUCAUGUAUGGUUCUUAGUUAUAUUGAUCAUCCUCUUAAAGUCUUGUACGUGUGAUAUGACCUAGUUCUCAAAUCUCAAUUGAUUAAUGCCUUGAUCAAAUUUAGUCUCAAUAUCCCAUCAUCUCAAAUCUCAAUUGAUUAAUGUCUUGAUCAAAUUUAGUCCCAAUAUCCCAUUAUCUCAAAUCUCAAUUGAUUAAUCCCUUGAUAGUCCCAAUAUCUCAUCAGGACUGUCUUUCUAUUGAUAAUCUAAUUCUAAUCUCAAUUAUUGUAUAUGACUAAUGCUAAUGAUGUGAUAUAUAUAGAUAUAUAGUUGUAAUCAGGGCCCUUCCACUAAGGGAUCUCUUAUUAUGACUUAUAUGAGGGAUUGAGCAUUAGCCCAACUUUUUGAUCACAUAUCAACAUCUCCACCAUUCAACCUCUAGGUAUAUAUGAGUAGAUCAUUUUUGAAAAUUUUCAGCCAAAUUGGUGAUCUUUAAGGCUUCAAACUGGCUUAAAUCAAUGGACUGUUCAAAUCUGUCAAUCAUGAACCGUUCAUGAAAAUUGCAGUUUUGAGCACCUUAACGAUCAUCAAUUUAGAUGAAAUUUUGCAGAAGUGAUCUACAUAUUAGGACCUAAAAACUGAAUGGUUAAGAUUGAAAAAUGUGAUCGAAAAGUUAGUCUAAUGCUCAAUCCCUCAUAUAAGUCAUAAUAAGGGAUCCCUUAGUGGAAGGGCCAUGUAGUUGUAAUAGUACCAACAUUUGAUUCAUAGUUAUUAGAAUAUGUUAUCCCGUCGAGUUAGGUUUAAGGAUUAUAUACUCAUUUACUGUAUUGUUAGAGCGGUGUAAGUAUGUUCUUUUGUCUUUAACUUUUGUUAUCGAAUUUUUAUAAAAUGUUAUAAUAUUGAUUUCUUAAUUAUCAGUUAACUAUGUCAUUUUUUUGAUAUGUUUUUAAUUUAAGAUGUGAUAUGUAGAAUAUAAAAAAAAAAAAUUUAAACUCACCCCAACCUAAUAUCUUAGACAGGGCUGCUCACCUGCGAGACACAAUUUAAGGGAAAAAAGGGGCGAAUCGAUCUCAGCCGUUGGAUCUUUAAUGAAUAUAUCUUACGGUUAUCAAGGAAACACGAUCUCAUGCCAAUUAUCUUUUGUUCAUCUUCUUCCCUCAUCUCACCUCUUCGCAAACUUAGCAACCCAUAUCUUUUCAUCUUCUUCUCUCAUCUCAGGAUUUCUCAACAUCCCAUACGUGGGUUCUUAGAAGCCUCACAUAUUCUUUUCUAAUACGAGUGGUGUAACUUGAAAUCAACAUGUAAAAAAGAACCGUGAGGAUGCUCUUUAUAUAUGCUAAAUUCGAAUAAGAAAGGGAGAAAUUAAUUUGAAGAUAGACAAAUCCCAUGAAAUAGAGGAUGUGCUUUCGUCCGCCCGUUGUGCCUGGAUUCAAACCCAAGAUACAAUCUUCUUCGAAUUUGUCGAGUCUCUUAUUUCUCAUACAAUUGGAACAGAGCAUAUGUGUGUAUAUUUUUAAGAGCAUAUAACAUGGUUAAAAAGAAAUUUCUGAGAGGAGAAGAAUGAAAUAGAAUUGGGUUUAGAGAUAUAUGAGAGGAGAAGAGUAUGAACUGAUCUGGGUAUGGCUUAGAGAGGUGAGAGGUGAGAGGCGAGAGAUGAGAGGAGAGGAAACAUGGAUCUGCAGAAGUUGAAUAACAACAAUUCGAUUGGAUGGUGGCUGCCAUGAGAACCGUAGGAUGUGUUCAUUAAAGAUCCAACGGCUGAGGUUGAUUCAUCCCUUUUUGUCCCUUAAAUUGUGUCCCGCAGGUGAGCAGCCCUGAUAUCCUAGGUCCGCCAUUGUUGGCCAACAUAUUGCUGCUAAGUAUUCGUCUUCUAGUUCCAUUUCCACGCCUAAAAUCCGUCUCCAACAUGAUCAUCUCUAUCAAAUUGGUACUUAAUCUUGGCCAACACGAUCAGGUUCUGCUGCAAAAUGUUCGUCUUCUAGUUCCAUUUUCAAACCUUUCUUAAUUUCGUGUUGCCUUGUUUCAAAUAGUUGACUCUAUCAACUUGAUUAAUAUCAAUUUGGAUACACACCCUACGCCUUAACAUAAUCUAAAUAGUUAUUUAUUAAGAAUGUACGUAGGAGACUUGUUGGAUUUGCUCUAACCGAUCGAAUCAAAGUUCUUGUUGAUCGAAUGAGGAUGAGUCUGUAGCAAAUCGAUUUUCACGAGUAAGACAUCACUCUCAGAUGAUUUUCUUGUCAUGCAAUCUCACAUACAGUUGCCUGCAGUCAUUAUCUUUUAGUUUCAAUAAUACAAUUUAAGAGACGGUACGUAUGGGAGUUGGCGAUGAUUUCUUAAAAACAACAAAAUAAUGCAAUAAUAUCAAAAAAUAAUUAGAUUAUCCAACAGUGAACAUGUCAGUAUUACGAUCAUCUCGCACUCUGCAGUGUUAACAAUUUUCAAUUGAAAAAAGGGAGAUUGAUUGUUGCUGAGAUAUGAUAAGACCAAUGAUAAGAUCUGAUUUAUUGAGACCAUGUGAAGCAUUACAUGUUUUUCAGAAGGUAAAUCAUAUACAAUACCUAAUAAUUUAGCUGAAACUGUAGUGGAAUUAAUAUAUUAAUGUUCUCUAAGUUCUUGCCCUAUUAUAUAUAGCACACAAGAUUGGUACGUUGUAUACCGCGAUCAUAUGAACUUAGGGUUCUGAUCAGUAGUAAAAAUAUCAAUCAAAAAGUACCGAUCGAUAAUCAAACAUGUCUCUUCAAGGUAAGGUGGAAGCUGAAUUUGAAAUCACAGCACCUGCUGACAAGUUCUACAACAUUUUCAAGAUUGAGGCUCACCUAGUCCCAAACACUUCUCAAACUGGCAGUAUAACUGGAGUUGCAGUGCAUGAAGGAGACUGGGAAACUGACGGGUCUAUUAAGAUUUGGAACUAUGCAAUAGGUAAGCCAUUAUAUGCGUAAUUGUUCGAUCUGUUAUUAGACUGUACAUGACCAAAGCUGCCUCUGAAAAAUUAGGUAGGUGAUGUAGAGGUUUUCAGUUAUAAUUGUUUUACAGUGAUUUUAACUCUCUUGUUAAUAUAGAGGGCGAAGUGGGAACAUUCAAGGAGAGGGUGGAGUUAGACGAGGUGAACAAGACCAUAACUCUGAAUGGAUUGGAAGGAGAUGUGUUUCAGUAUUACAAGAGCUUCAAGCCUAUCUAUCAGUUCACUCAAAAGGAUGAGGGCAGCAGCAUUGCCAAAGUGUCCAUUGAAUAUGAGAAGCUGAGUGAGGAGGUUGCAGCUCCAGAUAAGUACAUCCGCUUGAUGACUAACAUCGUCAAGGAUCUUGAUGCCCACUUCGUCAAGGCCUAAAGAAGGAAUAAUUAGCAUGCAAUACGAAAGCUAUAGCUCUCGCUAUUGCUACUGCAUGCUGGUUUUGUAAAAUUAAAAACAAAUAAUCAUCUAGUACUGUUGUGGUGUUCUAAUUUUGAUGCUAAGUAUAUAUCACCAUUGNGAUGAAUAAAUGUGUGAACGGUGAUAUUGAUAUGUAUAUGGUAUAUGUAUNNNNNNNNNNNNNNNNNNNNNNNNNNNNNNNNNNNNNNNNNNNNNNNNNNNNNNNNNNNNNNNNNNNNNNNNNNNNNNNNNNNNNNNNNNNNNNNNNNNNNNNNNNNNNNNNNNNNNNNNNNNNNNNNNNNNNNNNNNNNNNNNNNNNNNNNNNNNNNNNNNNNNNNNNNNNNNNNNNNNNNNNNNNNNNNNNNNNNNNNNNNNNNNNNNNNNNNNNNNNNNNNNNNNNNNNNNNNNNNNNNNNNNNNNNNNNNNNNNNNNNNNNNNNNNNNNNNNNNNNNNNNNNNNNNNNNNNNNNNNNNNNNNNNNNNNNNNNNNNNNNNNNNNNNNNNNNNNNNNNNNNNNNNNNNNNNNNNNNNNNNUAUUCAUCAUGUUGCGACCAAGACUAACUAUAUAGCUCAUACAGCAGCAGGCAACAUUUUCAUGAUAAGAAACGUCCAUUUGUAUACUUCAAAAAAAAAACGUCCAUUUGUAAUCUAACUAAUGUUCGAUGUCAACCAUAUUAUUGUUGGCAGCUACCAAACAAACUAUUUUGAUCGGUCUACAUAUAAAUGGAGCUGGCUGUGAAGUAGCCAAAUGAUUCCCUUUACAUGCGAGCAUGCCUGGCCAAAAUACUGGAUCUACUGUGAGCACAGAUGAGUAGCUUGGAGAUUCAUUCUCGGAGAUCGAUCAUUCAGUGUGGACGCUUAUCUAUGCCGGCCUCUACUAGCAAACAUAACACGUGAAGACACUAAUAGUUCUAGAUUUGGUAGGGUUUAGACGCUUAGAGCCUAUCUGGGGUGGUUUCGCAUGUUUCGCUUACCCAUCCCACAUGCAUUUACAAUAUUGGUGAGAUUUGGAUUCAUCAUUUCUACGAUAUUAGUUAAAUUAGAAAACAAUUACGCCGCAGCUCACAGACAAUUAAUUACGUUAUAGUUGAAUACUUGAAUUAGAAAGAGUUUGUAUGUAGCUACAUAUCAUGAAGAGUAAGUAAACCAUCACUCUUAAGAGAUUUUCUUGUCUGUCAUAUAAUCUAACAGCUGUCUGGCGUAUGUUAUUAAUUAUCUUAUUUUUAUUUCAAUAAUACAAUUAAAAAAGGGUAAAUAUGGGAGUUGGUGAUGACUUAUGAUUCUAAAAACAACGAAGUAACCAAUUAGAAUAUCUAAAAGAAAUAUAUAAAAUUAAAAAUUAUAAAAAAAGCUAGCCUUUAAGAUACCGUGAACUAAUCUAAAAAGUGCGNNNNNNNNNNNNNNNNNNNNAAUCAUAUGAUAAUAUCAAUAAUAGGAGGACCAUGUGAAGCGCAUGUUUACUGAAAUGAAAUUAAUAGUACCUAAUAAUUUAGCUGAAAGCGUAGUGGAAUUGAUCGACGUUAUCUGAUAGUUCUGCCUUCUGCCCCCUAUUAUAUAUAGCAAACAAGAUGGGUAGCUUAUCGGCAUAUCGCGAUCAUAUACUUUGGGUUCUGAUCAGUAUCAUAUCGAUCACAUCACAGAGUACCGAAAAUCAAACAUGUCUCUUCAAGGUAAGUUAGAGACUGAAUUUGAAAUCACAGCACCUGCUGACAAGUUCUACAACAUCUUCAAGAGUGAGGCUCACCACAUCCCUAACACUUCUCAAACCGGCACCAUAACUGGAGUUGCGGUGCAUGAAGGAGACUGGGAAACUGAAGGAUCUAUCAAGAUUUGGAGUUAUUCAAUAGGUAAGCCAUUAUGUACGUAAAUGUUCAAUCUGUUAUAUAUAAGACUGUUAAUUUUAACCAUAUAUUAACCAAAGCAGCUGGUUCUGAAUCACUCGACAGGUUGAGAUAUCAGGAACGGUUGAGAUUUUCAGUUAUAAUUAUUGUUACAGUGAUUAUUUUCGUGUUUAUAUAUAGAGGGGGAAGUGGGAACUUUCAAGGAAAAGGUGGAGCACGACGACGUGAACAAGGCCAUAAUUGUGAAUGGGUUGGAAGGAGAUGUGUUUAAGUAUUACAAGACCUUCAAGGGCAUCUAUCAGUUCAAUCAAAAGGAUGAUGGCAGCAACAUUGCCAAACUGACCCUCGAAUAUGAGAAGCUGAGUGAGGAGGUUGCAGUUCCAGAUAAGUACGUUCGCUUGAUGACUAACCUCGUCAAGGAUCUUGAUGCCCACUUCGUCAAGGCCUAAGGGGGGAAGAAUUAUAUAGCAUGCAAUACGAGAGCUACGUAUAAUGAAUAGCUACUACUGUGUGCUGGUUGUGUGAAGGUUAAGAAUAAUAAUCUGUUGUAGUGCAUGCUUUAUCUGGUUAUGAGUACAAUAGCGUACAGGUACUGUCGUCUUUUUAUGCGAGUAUAUAUCACCAUUGUGAUGAAUAAAUGUUUGAACGAUGAUAUUUUGAUGUUUCGUAUAUGUAUCAAGUUUGUAAGGUUUGAUUUCCAUCAAAUACAUUGAAGUUUGCCG
rnacentral:lncRNA from 1 species